UACCAGCACCCCGAGUGGUCGGGACGAUUAUUGGACCUAAAGCAUCCGUAGCCGGUUCUACAAGUCUUCCGUUAAAUCCACCUGCUUAACAGAUGGGCUGCGGAGGAUACUAUAGAGCUAGGAGGCGGGAGAGGCAAGCGGUACUUAGUGGGUAGGGGUAAAAUCCGUUGAUCCAUUGAAGACCACCAGUGGCGAAGGCGGCUUGCCAGAACGCACUCGACGGUGAGGGAUGAAAGCUGGGGGAGCAAACCGG
rnacentral:rRNA from 1 species